rnacentral:tRNA from 1 species
GCCCCCUUCGUCUAGUGGCCCAGGACGUCGGGUUCUCAGCCCGAAAACAGGGGUUCGACUCCCCUAGGGGGUG